GGCAAUUGAAGGUGAAGGGGUCAUGCAAAUGAGUUGAGGUUUGGCACCAUGAAGAGAGCCUCUGAGGGGCUAUUGGUGAAAGUGCAGCCCGGAUGCAGCAAGGGACCCCAGCAUAUUGGAGAUGCCAGCGUCAUGCGAAGACCACCAAGAACAGUAGCAGAAAUAGAGUGGAACCAGCCCGUGCCUGGAAGACAAGCUGUGUGUGCUUCAGAGGGCAGAGCCAGAGAAGUGACCCAACCGCUUUGAAGGAGUCCAGAAGAUUGUGAAUGGAUCCCAGGAAUUGGAUGGGGUCAAGUGGUUUCUGCUGAAAUGGAUCAGAUCUCCUACAAGAUGGCUGAAAAGGGUAAAUACCGUCCAGCUGGGACUCUGUUCGGCGUUUGCUUCACUAUAACACUGUUAUUGCACUUAGUCUCAUCUGCCUCAAAAAGCUCCCUCCGAAACGCACUCUCUGGUUAAUAACUUGUGUCCACUCAAUGGAAAGGUUGCACUACAGAAUUAAACCACGUUCACCCAACCUUUGCUGGGGUCUAUAAACUGCCAGGCUCUACCUGCUCCGGCCUUUGCCCCAUUUGGAAAUAAAUUGAUCCCA